CAAGACAACUUUACGGAGUUGACGAUUGACGGAGCGAAGCGACGUCAAAGCGUUCAUUAAAGUCGAGUUGGCUUAGGGAUACGUUCGUUGGGUAGGGGAGCGUUCUGUAAGCCUGUGAAGGUGGCCUGUGAGGGUUGCUGGAGGUAUCAGAAGUGCGAAUGCUGACAUAAGUAACGAUAAUGCGGGUGAAAAACCCGCACGCCGGAAGACCAAGGGUUCCUGUCCAACGUUAAUCGGGGCAGGGUGAGUCGACCCCUAAGGCGAGGCCGAAAGGCGUAGUCGAUGGGAAACAGGUUAAUAUUCCUGUACUUGGUGUUACUGCGAAGGGGGGACGGAGAAGGCUAUGUUAGCCGGGCGACGGUUGUCCCGGUUUAAGCAUGUAGGCGGAGGUUCCAGGUAAAUCCGGUACCUUAUUAACGCUGAGGUGUGAUGACGAGGCACUACGGUGCUGAAG
rnacentral:rRNA from 3 species